ACAAUUCUCUUACAAUAUUCUUAUCAAUGGGAUCCACUAAGCCUAUGAUAACCAUUUUCAUCUUACUAUUUUCACUCUUUGUUCUUGUUCCUAUUCCUUCUUUAGCCAAUUCAAGAAUACUUGCUCUAGUUAAAGAAAAACCCCUUGUCCUAAAAUACCAUAAAGGGGCUCUAUUAAAAGGAAACGUUACGAUUAAUCUUAUAUGGUACGGAAAAUUCACUCCUGCACAACGUUUGAUUAUCGUCGAUUUCAUCCAAUCUCUUAACCCUAAAAGUAAGAAAAUUACGUCACCACCCUCUGUCGCUUCGUGGUGGAGCACCACCGAGGCGUACAAAGGUGGUGCUUCGGUUAUAUCCCUAGGAAAACAAAUUUUCGAUGAAAAAUAUUCCCUUUGGAAAAUAUCUGAAAGACCCUCAACUCGAAUCUUUGGCUUCUAAAGCUACUCGGGUCAACUCCAUCGCUGUCAUAUUGACAGCAACGGAUGUGGGGGUCGACGACUUCUGCAUGAACCGAUGUGGCAUGCACGGGUCGACCCGGUUGAAGAAAGCGGGUAAAUUUGCGUAUGCAUGGGUGGGUAACUCGGCGAGUCAGUGUCCGGGUCAAUGCGCGUGGCCAUUCCAAAAGCCGAUUGUGGGACCACAGAUUACACCGUUAGUUGCACCAAACGGAGACGUGGGGGUUGACGGAAUGAUUAUUAACUUGGCGACUGUUUUGGCGGGUACCGUUACGAACCCGUUUGAUGGCGGAUAUUUUCAGGGCCCAGGUAACGCGCCUUUAGAAGCUGUGUCUGCUUGUACCGGGAUAUUCGGGUCGGGUGCAUUUCCUGGAUAUCCAGGUAAGGUUUUGCUGGAUAAAAAAACGGGUGCUAGCUAUAAUGCGCCGGGUGUGAAUGGGAGAAAGUAUUUGCUUCCUGCUAUGUGGGACCCAAAAACGUCAAAAUGCAAGACACUCCUGUGAAAUUAUAUAUAUUUGCCAUAAAAAAAAAAAGAAAAGGAAAGAUAUUGUAAUAUUUAUUUGUUUAUUCGAUUUGGAAAUUGUUUGUUUUACAAUACUAUAUUGAUAUAAAAUUAUAAAAUUUUAUC